UGGGGAAUAUUGCACAAUUGGCGCAAGCCUGAUGCAGCCAUGCCGCGUGUGUGAAGAAGGCCUUCGGGUUGUAAAGCACUUUCAGCGGGGAGGAAGGCGGUGAGGUUAAUAACCUUGGCGAUUGACGUUACCCGCAGAAGAAGCACCGGCUAACUCCGUGCCAGCAGCCGCGGUAAUACGGAGGGUGCAAGCGUUAAUCGGAAUUACUGGGCGUAAAGCGCACGCAGGCGGUCUGUCAAGUCGGAUGUGAAAUCCCCGGGCUCAAACUGGGAACUGCAUUCGAAACUGGCAGGCUAGAGUCUUGUAGAGGGGGGUAGAAUUCCAGGUGUAGCGGUGAAAUGCGUAGAGAUCUGGAGGAAUACCGGUGGCGAAGGCGGCCCCCUGGACAAAGACUGACGCUCAGGUGCGAAAGCGUGGGGAGCAAACAGG
rnacentral:rRNA from 1 species